GUUACGGAAAAUAACCAAUGAGAACUCGCCCUUUUGGGGGCGUUUCCGUCGGUUCCGUGGGUUAACUCCUAGGUUCCAUAACGUUUAGCUCAGAGCAGAGCAGUAUCCUGGCUGUUGAUACAUGACCAGCUACACUUAAUUACUUAUUUGGUUACAUCUUUCCCCACGGGGAUUCGAAUCAAUUUUCUUCCCGAGAUCUUCGGGAUAGCUCCCAACAGCUACCAUUUUCACUAGUCUGUCUGGGCAGGCUCAGUUCACUCUUGUGUAGAGCAGGAGAAAUGGAUGUUUUCUGACAGCUGCUUUGUAACUCAUCUCUAAGUUUUUCCUGGUACUUAUCGGGUUCAACUGGCCAACGAGAUUUACAUCGUCGCCGAGUUCAUUUUACCAGUAUCGACAAUUUCCACCAUGGAUCUUUGCUCCUAGACUACAUGUAGUUCGUCGAGGUUCAGGACGUCGAACAUUUCAGCUUAUCUGAAGCAGUACAUUGACAGUCGUCAAAAUCAAUGUUGCCACGUUUUUUUCUAUACUUUCUUACUUGGUAGAUUAGCUCUCUUUUCCUAAGGGAAGGGCUCUCAAUUGACUGAAGGGAAGGGCUCUCAAUUGACUUUUUCCGUCGAUAAGUCUCCGCAGCGUGUUUGAAAGACAUUGAAGUUUGAUAUCUCAUUAUUUAUCUCAUAUAUGUCAAAUAAAAAGUUCAUUCUAUUUUUUAUUCAAGCAAAACGGAAUACGUUGUUUGUAUGAAUUAAUAAGUGUAAGGAAUAUUUACAUUGAUACUUUGGUACUGUGUUCAAUUUAUUGACCAGUCAGGAUUUUCUUCACUUAUAAUUACAUACAUCUUUACUUUGUAAAAUGUGAUACCAGUUCAAUUGUUAGAUUAUAAAUUGAAUUCACUGAACUGUAA